ACUCAAACCAAAAGCACAAGCGUCCUCUUUGUUAUCAGCUACUACAGUUGAAAAUUGAGUAUGGAAGAACGUUUAGCGAUAGCCCUCAAGUCCCAGCCUCGAGUUCAGCCAACUGCACACUUCGUUCAUCUCUUUCGGGACCGUGUAAUGUCCGAGCCUGCAAACACCAGGUUCUAAACCCAGCUGUGCUCAACGACUGCGCUGAUUUCUCUCCGUACUUCAUAGGUACUAUCUCAUCAGCUGCAUUUUUUGGUUCAUAAUCGAUGAAAUUAUUGAAUGUAUCAGUUUAUUUUCCCCUUUAAACAUUUGAGAAUCGAUGUCUUUUAAACAAAUGCUGUGUUCUGAUGGUUGAAAUCUUCAAUUUGAAGUAUAUUUGUAUGCGUAAGAUUUAGAUA